rnacentral:rRNA from 1 species
UACAGAGGGUGCAAGCAUUAAUCGGAUUUAUUGGGCGUAAAGAGCGCGUAGGCGGGUCUUUAAGUCAGAUGUGAAAUACCCGGGCUCAACCCGGGAACUGCAUUUGAAACUGAAGAUCUUGAGGGUAGUCGGAGAAAAUGGAAUUCCACGUGUAGCGGUGAAAUGCGUAGAUAUGUGGAAGAACACCGGUGGCGAAGGCGAUUUUCUAGAUUAUACCUGACGCUGAGGCGCGAAAGCAAGGGGAUCAAACAGG